AUCCAUAAAACUAAAAACGAAAUGGUUGCAUGUAGAAUGUCCAAAUGUGCAAUUUAACCAAAUAUUGUAUGCAUAUGUGGAUAUGGUUACAUGUACCCCUACAGAUAAGAUUGCAGCAAGGGCGAUAUAAAGAAGAAAGAACUUCAAAGUGGAAGGAGCUUUACAGUGUGUGAAAAUUUGAAAUGGCUUCUAUCACAACCGCUCUGUCGUGGAGUUCUUCCCUUCUGGAUAUGGGUCUACCAAAUGUAGCUGGAAACAUCGAAGAAACUGCCAAGUUCUCAUAUGGAAGGACCGCCAUGGUUGUUGUCGCCCAAAAGAAAGCUUCGAAGUCAAGAAAGAUAAUUUUGAAGGAGGAUGUUGCGGACCUGGGAAAGAAAGGGCAGCUUAUUGAUGUGAAGGCUGGGUAUUACAGAAACUAUCUGUUCCCCAUGGGCAAGGCCCAGAUUGUCACUCCAGUUUUGCUCAAGGAAAUGCGGAUUGAAGAGGAAAGAAUUGAGGCUGAGAAAAAGCGGGUAAUAGAGGAGGCACAGCAACUCGCUCUGAUUUUUCAAACUGUUGGAGCUUUCAAGGUGAAACGAAAAGGUGGAAAAGGAAAACAGAUAUUUGGAACUGUCACCGCACAGGAUCUUGUUGAUAUUAUCAAGGCACAACUUCAGAGGGAUAUUGACAAACGGAUUGUUGAUCUUCCCGAGAUCAGGGAAACAGGAGAAUAUGUUGCAGAGUUGAAGCUUCACCCUGAAGUUACUGCUCGAGUGAGAGUGAAUGUCUUUGCCAACUGAAAUUAUUUCUAGAUAACAAGUUCAUGUAGCAGCAACACAUUUUUCAAAAGUGUGUAUGAAGAUGGGAUGGAUGGGUAGCGGACAAAUAAUGGGUCAAUUUUAUGAUGGCUAUCGGAUAGGCGAUGGGAUGAUGGGGUGCCGGACAAGUCUGUCAUCUUUCUUUCCACUUCCACUAAACCAAUAAUUAAUUGCCUAAAUACUUGUCAUUAAACAACCUAAUUUCGUUCCUUACCAGACCACUUUAUCAUAUUUCUAGUUUUUGUGUUAUAUAUUUAUAUGAGUAUCUAUUCAUUACGAUCAUAUCAUUUUUUCUUUUACUGCUCAUUUAGCAACAUUAUUUGAGGGACAUUUUCAUCGAGAAAGAUGCUUUUUUGCUGCU